UUCCUUUGUGUUCAGAAGAACAAUGAAACUCGUACAGGUUUGGAACUACUCAAGGGUAAGUAAAUGAUGAUAGAAUUAAAUAUUUGUCCGUGAAUGUCCGUGAUUCUGCAAAAAGUGCAAAAGAAGCUACAUUCACAUGUGCACAAAAAGAUAAGUCUGGAGGCCCAGAGGCAAGUCCAAAUAUUACCUCUGCUCCAAAUACAAAUCUCUCAUUCUCUAUUCUGUAUUCCCUAUUCACUUUAUUGAGACUCCUACUGCAUACCACGGGGUUAGAGGUACAGCACAGUCACCCCAUAGUCACUGAGAGAGGACUCCAGGCCAGCGAGCGGUGUGUGGGAGAGCUCUGCUGAUACUCAUCCUGCUGUUCAUCAUUCAUUCUCAUUCAUACAAGGAUUAUUCCUACAGGGAAGGGAAAGACAUCAUCUUUCAACAGCGCAUCUCUGAUCGAGGUAGGAGUCUGCAUUUCAGUGAUCCGGGAUCAGGGACACCUACCAACAGAUGAAUUUAUCUCCGACCGGUCACGCCAGACCCGUCCACCGGGCUUAUCAUGAGCAGUGACAGACGCCCAGCAGUCGCCACAUCCCUCCAGCACAUGCCCUGACCUCUCCGACCUCUCAUUCCUAGCACUGCCAACAGUAGAAUGGAUCACCACCACACACACUUUUUGUCCAUAUAAUGAAAGUCAUUGGGGUCCAAAACAACACUGGACCACACAGACUUUCAUUGUAUGGACAGAUAUAUUCUUCACAGGAGACAGAAAGCUAUACAGAUAACCUUUUCCAGGCCCAUCCUGCUUCUGCUGAUUACUGUCUGGUGAAUCGCUGCUAAUAAGCUACAAAGCACUGUUACUGCAGUGCGAGCAGACCCCCAUAGGCAGGUGUAUGAGUGAUUAUAUAUUUCUGGCUCCGAUCCCUCGCAGCAAUGGAGAUCAACGCCGAGCAGCAAAGCACAGCUCAGUCAGCCCAUCCUGGCCGUUCGGAGCAAAAGGGGUUGUAAUUAUCCGGAGCCAGUCAUCUCAGGAGGUCGGCUGGGAUUUGGGGAAUGUGUCCCCCUCCUCCACAUCUCGUCCUUUUCACCCUUCAGCCCCAUCGUCCUCCACAGAAAAAGGGCAUUUCUUCAGCUGGAGGAUCACACUGCCACAGCAGAGCGGUGAAGUGCGCGAGUACGUAAAUGGUUUGCGAGCAUGAAAUCAAUCACCUCUGGUUCAAAUAUGCAUUAUAGUCACAUUUCAACCGUUACUCACGUCAUGGCGCAGCCUGCCAGAAAGAGAUCUGCUUAUGCCUCUGAGACAAUGCCAAGGAUAUCACAAAAAUAACUUUAAAUCAGUUUUAUUGUUCUCUCGUCUGCUUCUUGCACUCGCCCUCUCUCUCACUUGGCACCAUGUGCGCUUAAUUACAUUGACUUUGAAGCGAUUAUGACAUCAUGAUUUGGCUGUUAUUCUUUUGGACGUGUUUGGACUUCUGGGUUCCCAUGGAAACUCUGAUGUAAUGGCCACGCAGACUUGUUUUCAGGAAAACCACAGCUGACACGUGGUGAAAUAGAUGGGCUUUUGUUUUUUAGAAGGAUCGGUGGUUUGUCAACAGCUCGUGCAGAUGAAAGCCAGACAGGCUUCGGAGGGCAUUGGUUCACUCAAGCUGAGGACGAAACUUCAGCCUUUAGACUGAUGGUUUGACAUUUACUCUGCGUGAACAGGAAAGUUUUAGUCUAUGUCAUCAUGGCCGAAUGUGGUUAAAGACCCAUGUGCUCUAUAGCCUUAGUGGUGUUAAAGUUUAGACAUAGAAUUCAUGAUUUGUGGUAAACUCAACUGUUUACUGCAUGUUUCCCACCAUGCCUCAUUCUCCCAAAUAAGGACAGUCUGGUUAUUUUGGAAAGGCACCACUGAUAAUAGUUAUUAUUGCUGGUAAGAUUUUUGGGUCACAUUUUCUUUUAAAGCCCAAUUCUUGCUAUUAGCUAUAUAAACUAUAGCUUUUGCUUUAAUAAACUCCUAAUUUGCUGUAUAGAUAAUAGGUCCAAUAAGCAGGAUUAGGGGUUUAGAAUGUGGUCAUGCAGAAUAUGUGCUUUAUAAGUACUAAUAAACAGCCAGCAACUAUUUAAUCGUGAGAAUUAGUCCUUGUACUAAAGUGUUUUUAGCGCUAAGUGUCAGAUUUUUAAACAUUUCCACAAUAAUGCCUCUUGACUCCUGUAAAACAAGGUUAAACAUCCUUAGCUUGUUUGUUUCAGCUGCUGGAGGCAUGUCAAUUAAUUAGGCUGGGAGACCAGUUAAAACCGCUAAAACCAGCAAACCAGCACUAAAAACAGAAAUGGGGCAUGACACGAAGCAAUCAAUCACCGAACAAAGCCAAUCAGAUCAUUUUUCUCUGUUUGCAUGUCUCCUUGCACGUCUAAUGCGCUGAAGCUGAUAAGCGUGAAGUUGUUCACAUAUCUUCCGAAAAGCUUCAACAAAUGGCAUGCUUUUUAUGGUUUUAGACAUAGAAUUCUAAUCCAUAGUUUUAUGGAUUUUAUAAUUUUCGAUUCCGGAGAGCUUUCAAUGUGGGCCGCAGCUGUUAAAAUGAAAACUGCUUAACAUUAUUGUACAGCUUGUAACUUUGUGGCAUAUUGUUGGGCUGCAACAAGGUAUUAAGGCCUGUUCACACAAACUUGUUUUUGCAUUCUGUUGUAAACAUGUCACGACAAGGCAUUCUAAAAAAGUUUAGAAAAUGUGUCUCUAGACCUUUGGUCUCAAACUCAACUCCUGGAGGACCACAGCUCAACCAGCUCCAAAACCACACCUGCUGAGAAGUUUCCAGUAAUCCUAAAUACCUUGAUUAGCUGGAUCAGAUGUGUUUGAUUAAGGUCUGUAGAGCUGUGGCUUGAGACCAAUGGACCUUUUUCACGUUUCUGUAUUUCUCCGCAAUGGAAGUCGUCAUAGUUGGGUUAAUAAGUGGGAGAGAACCACAAAUCCAUUUUUUGUAUUCACAUUUGCUCAAAUAGCAAGCUCUAAGAUAGUGUUUUCAUGAUUCCAAAACAAAUAAAAAAAUUUGAGAGAGAAGAGAGAAACCAUGUCA